rnacentral:rRNA from 1 species
UAGGGAAUCUUCCGCAAUGGGCGAAAGCCUGACGGAGCAACGCCGCGUGAGUGAUGAAGGUCUUCGGAUCGUAAAACUCUGUUAUUAGGGAAGAACAAAUGUGUAAGUAACUAUGCACGUCUUGACGGUACCUAAUCAGAAAGCCACGGCUAACUACGUGCCAGCAGCCGCGGUAAUACGUAGGUGGCAAGCGUUAUCCGGAAUUAUUGGGCGUAAAGCGCGCGUAGGCGGUUUUUUAAGUCUGAUGUGAAAGCCCACGGCUCAACCGUGGAGGGUCAUUGGAAACUGGAAAACUUGAGUGCAGAAGAGGAAAGUGGAAUUCCAUGUGUAGCGGUGAAAUGCGCAGAGAUAUGGAGGAACACCAGUGGCGAAGGCGACUUUCUGGUCUGCAACUGACGCUGAUGUGCGAAAGCGUGGGGAUCAAACAGG